UUGAAACACCGGUUCCUCUAUGAUCACCGAAGUUAAGCAUCAUUCAGCCUGAUCAGUAACUAGAUGGGUGACGGACUGGGGAUACUAGGUAGUGUAA